GAUGAACGCUGGCGGCGUGCCUAAUACAUGCAAGUCGAGCGAACAGACGAGGAGCUUGCUCCUCUGACGUUAGCGGCGGACGGGUGAGUAACACGUGGAUAACCUACCUAUAAGACUGGGAUAACUUCGGGAAACCGGAGCUAAUACCGGAUAAUAUAUUGAACCGCAUGGUUCAAUAGUGAAAGACGGUUUUGCUGUCACUUAUAGAUGGAUCCGCGCCGCAUUAGCUAGUUGGUAAGGUAACGGCUUACCAAGGCGACGAUGCGUAGCCGACCUGAGAGGGUGAUCAGCCACACUGGGACUGAGACACGGUCCAGACUCCUACGGGAGGCAGCAGUAGGGAAUCUUCCGCAAUGGGCGAAAGCCUGACGGAGCAACGCCGCGUGAGUGGUGAAGGUCUUCGGAUCGUAAAACUCUGUUAUUAGGGAAGAACAAAUGUGUAAGUAACUAUGCACGUCUUGACGGUACCUAAUCAGAAAGCCCCGGCUAACUACGUG
rnacentral:rRNA from 1 species